rnacentral:rRNA from 1 species
AGAGUUUGAUCCUGGCUCAGAGCGAACGCUGGCGGCAGGCUUAACACAUGCAAGUCGAACGGGCGUAGCAAUACGUCAGUGGCAGACGGGUGAGUAACGCGUGGGAACGUACCUUUUGGUUCGGAACAACACAGGGAAACUUGUGCUAAUACCGGAUAAGCCCUUACGGGGAAAGAUUUAUCGCCGAAAGAUCGGCCCGCGUCUGAUUAGCUAGUUGGUGAGGUAAUGGCUCACCAAGGCGACGAUCAGUAGCUGGUCUGAGAGGAUGAUCAGCCACAUUGGGACUGAGACACGGCCCAAACUCCUACGGGAGGCAGCAGUGGGGAAUAUUGGACAAUGGGGGAAACCCUGAUCCAGCCAUGCCGCGUGAGUGAUGAAGGCCCUAGGGUUGUAAAGCUCUUUUGUGCGGGAAGAUAAUGACGGUACCGCAAGAAUAAGCCCCGGCUAACUUCGUGCCAGCAGCCGCGGUAAUACGAAGGGGGCUAGCGUUGCUCGGAAUCACUGGGCGUAAAGGGUGCGUAGGCGGGUUUCUAAGUCAGAGGUGAAAGCCUGGAGCUCAACUCCAGAACUGCCUUUGAUACUGAGGAUCUUGAGUAUGGGAGAGGUGAGUGGAACUGCGAGUGUAGAGGUGAAAUUCGUAGAUAUUCGCAAGAACACCAGUGGCGAAGGCGGCUCACUGGCCCAUAACUGACGCUGAGGCACGAAAGCGUGGGGAGCAAACAGGAUUAGAUACCCUGGUAGUCCACGCCGUAAACGAU